rnacentral:rRNA from 1 species
UGGAGGAAAGCAGGGGAUCGCAAGACCUUGCGCUUUUGGAGCGGCCGAUGUCUGAUUAGCUAGUUGGUAGGGUAAAGGCUUACCAAGGCAACGAUCAGUAGUUGGUCUGAGAGGACGACCAGCCACACUGGGACUGAGGCACGGCCCAGACUCCUACGGGAGGCAGCAGUGGGGAAUUUUGGACAAUGGGCGAAAGCCUGAUCCAGCAAUGCCGCGUGAGUGAAGAAGGCCUUCGGGUUGUAAAGCUCUUUCAGUCGAGAAGAAAAGGUUGCGACUAAUAAUCGCAACUUAUGACGGUAUCGACAGAAGAAGCACCGGCUAACUACGUGCCAGCAGCCGCGGUAAUACGUAGGGUGCGAGCGUUAAUCGGAAUUACUGGGCGUAAAGGGUGCGCAGGCGCUCUUGUAAGUCAGAUGUGA